rnacentral:lncRNA from 1 species
AGAACGUUGUUUUCGGACGUUCGUCCUAACCGGAGACCUGUGUUUAUUAUGGCUGUUUGCUUUAAUUGUGUGAGGGACAAGAGUCCACGGUUGGUUUAUACGAUUUAUAAUCGUGUGUCACUUACGUGGGUGUCUCUGGUCCCUCACACUUCUAGUCUUGUAAGCUUCUUUGAUGAUCGUUCGCUGGGCUUGUCGUUCGCAACUCUUGUUGGGCGAGUGGAGAAGACGACUGCUAACUCUGAGAGAAGAGAAAGGAAUGCGUUUUUGGAAGAACUCGAGCGAGCGGGGGUGUAACAAUUAGUUUAUUUUCAGACAUAAAAAUGUCACGUUGUGUUUACUCUCCAGGUCCUGUCUUUCGAAGUCAGUGGAGGGAAUGUAUACCGCAGAAGCAUACCGCUGAUCAAUGAUAGUUUGAGACUUUUGACCCAGAGACACUGCAGUUUCAUCCAUAACAGUCAUAUUUGAGAAUUGAUACUUAGAGAAGUCCAUGCCAUCAACGAAACACUUGAAUGCAAGUGCACAUUUAAUCACUCCAGUAUCUUCCAAUUUGAACAGUGUUUUCGAUCUUCUUAGAGACAGUUUAUAUUUCUGAAAGGA